CUUUCCGAGGAGCGUUGCGAGGCCGCCGCCAGGCGCCCCAGGCUCGGAACUUCGAUCUGCAACCGCGCUCACCCGCA
rnacentral:ncRNA from 2 species